UACAGAGGGGGCAAGCGUUAUUCGGAAUUAUUGGGCGUAAAGCGCACGUAGGCGGUUCGUUAUGUCAGAUGUGAAAGCCCUUGGCUCAACUGAGGAAGUGCAUCUGAAACUGGCGAGCUAGAGUAUGUAAGAGGGUCGCGGAAUUCCCGGUGUAGAGGUGAAAUUCGUAGAUAUCGGGAGGAACACCGGUGGCGAAGGCGGCGACCUGGGACAAUACUGACGCUGAGGUGCGAAAGCGUGGGGAGCGAACAGG
rnacentral:rRNA from 1 species